rnacentral:rRNA from 1 species
UACAGAGGGUGCAAGCGUUAUUCGGAAUUACUGGGCGUAAAGCGCGCGUAGGUGGUUCGUUAAGUUGGAUGUGAAAUCCCCGGGCUCAACCUGGGAACUGCACUCAAAACUGUCGAGCUAGAGUAUGGUAGAGGGUGGUGGAAUUUCCUGUGUAGCGGUGAAAUGCGUAGAUAUAGGAAGGAACACCAGUGGCGAAGGCGACCACCUGGACUGAUACUGACACUGAGGUGCGAAAGCGUGGGUAGCAAACAGG